GAUGAACGCUGGCGGCGUGCUUAACACAUGCAAGUCGAACGAUGAAGCCCAGCUUGCUGGGUGGAUUAGUGGCGAACGGGUGAGUAACACGUGAGUAACCUGCCCUUGACUCUGGGAUAAGCCUGGGAAACUGGGUCUAAUACUGGAUAUGACUUCUCAUCGCAUGGUGGGGGGUGGAAAGAUUUAUUGGUCUUGGAUGGACUCGCGGCCUAUCAGCUUGUUGGUGAGGUAAUGGCUCACCAAGGCGACGACGGGUAGCCGGCCUGAGAGGGUGACCGGCCCCACUGGGCUGGGAGCGCGGCCCAGACCCCAGCGGGGGGCAGGAGGGGGGAAUAUUGCAAAAGGGGCGAAAGCCGGAUGCAGGGCCGCCGGGGGGGGGAUGACGGCCUUGGGGUUGUAACCCUUUUUCAGUGGGAAAGAAGCGGGGGUGACGGUACCGGAAAAAAAAGCGCCGCCAAACUAGGG
rnacentral:rRNA from 1 species